ensembl:lncRNA
AGCAGCCCUGGGAUGACCUUCCCAGUCUCUUAAAAAAGUGUCUUGUAAAAAGUUAACCUUUUUCAUUAAAUAUAUGAAAGACCAUCUCAUGACCUCCUGCAAUAAUAUUAGGGAGAAGCAGGCCCAGAUGUCUCCCUGAGAUUUCUCUGCAGAGUCUUAUUCAGAAAAUCUCUCAUGAGAAACUUCUGGGCGAGCAGCUAGAAGCAACAACAUUGGACUUCGCAGCAGAAGAGGAGGCCUACAGGAGCCCAAGGGACAGCAUCAUGCAUGAGCUGGAAGAUGCAACUUGCAAAUUCUGGGGAAGGUUACAGAGAGAACAAAAAAAAAAAAUGGGUUGACUUUGGUGACCAAUCACACAGUCCAGCUAGUGAGCAAGCAAUAACAGAGGCACAGUAUUCACAAAAAUCUGGGAGAGAUUUCCUGUGGCCAAUUCUGGAGAGUUCCCAGAGGAUCUGACUAAAACAGAGAACAGCUCCUCCUGGAAAAUGUAGUAUCCAGAGCAGCACUGGCAGUCAUUUCUUGGUGUAUCUCAGACUGGGAUUGAAUAGAGCUCCAACAGUACUCCAUAGGAGAACAGAAGUCACCCACCAGCCCUCUAGAAAGGCAGAGAAUGCCUCACCAACCUAUUCCUGAAGUCUAUUUCCUAACCAAAUAUGUUGUAUUUCACAACAUCUCAGCAUUAGUUUCCUCUUUAGAGGAGAUGAAUAACUGCAAGCUUGGGCAAGUUAGGAAGGAAAAGUAAAGUUAAUCCUGUUUAUUUAAGGAAGAUCACAAAGGCAAGGUCUGUCCUUUUCUUUAUGCCCUGAACAUGAAGAGAGACUGGCACAGUUCAAGGCUAAGCAGAAUUUUGUCUUCAUUUUAGCUUGUUGAAAACAGGCAUUAAUUAAACUUUGAAGGUCAUUCCAUCAGUGUUUACCAUGAAAAUGUUAGACUGGAUAGGAAAUCCUUAAAUUUAACACCCAUGAAGUCUAAUUCCAUGUUCAAGACCAUUCUCUGUUAUCAAAUAGAUAUCAAAACAAGGUGUGUAAAGAACAGAGAAGCUGCAGUUUUCUAAAGGGCAAAAGCUGCAAAGAUUUUUUUCCCUCAUUUGUAACUGCAUUCUGUCUUCUAGUUCAAAACAGCUACAAUAUACUAGAAAACAGCACCAUCAAAAGUGAAACUUCAAAGCUGUGCAAUGCUUCAUUGGUUUUUAAAACUGAAACAAUGAAAAAUUCUUCUGUUAUUCUGAUCGCCAUCCUUCUCACAAAAAAAUGUCACUCUCAGAUUUGAAACAAGCUCUCCACACUCCUUCAAGCAUUUCUUCACUGCAUCUCUAGCUUUAAAUGAAUGCGUACAGGCCUUGACCAAUUUGAAUUAGAUCAGAAGAAAGAAGUAGUGUGAUUGCUUUAACCACUUUAGCUGUGAGCAUUGCUUUGCAAACCCUUUAACCAUGCUCUUGAAAAGGCUUUCUACUUAUGCUGAAGCUUCAUACUGCUGUAACAUCCUACUGGCUAUUUCCAAGUUGAGCUCCAUGAUCAGUCAGUCUCAGCACUGAUUGCAAAAGAAAUGUACCCCCACAGCUGGCACGCUUCUAAGGGAGUUUAUUUCCAUCACCAUAAACCAGCCCUGCAGUUUGGAGCAGGAAAUUUCUGAACCAGUUGUUGCACAGUACUAGUUUCCAAAGAUUUGUUAUCAGCAGUGUGAGAGCAGCAGCUUGAGCAAAUUUAGUAGCAGAUUAGAAAUUACUUCCUGCUUGUGAAAGAACAAUAUACCAAGAAUGAGUAUGAAGCCCCAUACUUUUGUGCAUUCUGGCUCCAAACUGUGAGGAACAACCCAGCCAUGUCAGGGAGGGAAGUGACUGCUCUAAGUGAUUUCUCAUUAUCUCUGCUUUUAAAAAACUGUCAUGUGUAUUAGAAACCUUCUGAUACACUGGGUUUAACAUAACGCUGUAUGUGAACAGGUGGGGUUAGUACAGGCACACCUUGUUUUUGAAUGAUAUGCUGGGGGUGCCUUUGGAUGGGGGAUUGUGUGAGGGGAAAGAUUGGUGGCACACAUCGUUAACCAGGAGACGAUGCCAGCACUGUUACUUUCCGUCUCUUCCUCCACUGUGAAUGCAUGAUCAUCACAUAUUGACAGCGCUGUGCUCUUCUGACUACUUCAGUGUGAGUGUGACUGCAGAAUUAGAAAGAAGAUGCAGUCUCGUAUUGGACAUACCAGCACACUGAUGAGGCAGGAAGGAAAAAGGAGUAGCCUACAGGGAAGAAUAAAAUUCCUUGUGACGCCA